GACGAACGCUGGCGGCAUGCUUAACACAUGCAAGUCGAACGGUAAGGCCCUUCGGGGUACACGAGUGGCGAACGGGUGAGUAACACGUGGGUGAUCUGCCCUGCACUUCGGGAUAAGCCUGGGAAACUGGGUCUAAUACCGGAUAGGACCACUGCCUGCAUGGGUGGUGGUGGAAAGCUUUUGCGGUGUGGGAUGGGCCCGCGGCCUAUCAGCUUGUUGGUGGGGUGAUGGCCUACCAAGGCGACGACGGGUAGCCGGCCUGAGAGGGUGACCGGCGACACUGGGACUGAGAUACGGCCCAGACUCCUACGGGGGGCAGCAGUGGGGAAUAUUGCACAAUGGGCGCAAGCCUGAUGCAGCGACGCCGCGUGAGGGAUGACGGCCUUCGGGUUGUAAACCUCUUUCAGCACCGACGAAGCGCAAGUGACGGUAGGUGCAGAAGAAGGACCGGCCAACUACGUGCCAGCCGCCGCCGCCG
rnacentral:rRNA from 1 species